rnacentral:rRNA from 1 species
UACGUAGGGUGCGAGCGUUAAUCGGAAUUACUGGGCGUAAGCGUGCGCAGGCGGCGCGUUAAGACAGGUGUGAAAGCCCCGAGCUUAACUUGGGAAUUGCGCUUGUGACUGGCGUGCUGGAGUGUGGCAGAGGGAGGUGGAAUUCCACGUGUAGCAGUGAAAUGCGUAGAGAUGAUGGAGGAACACCGAUGGCGAAGGCAGCCUCCUGGGCCAGCACUGACGCUCAUGCACGAAAGCGUGGGGAGCAAACAGGA